UCGGACCUGCCCGGUGAAGUUUUUUAACGGCCGCGGUACUCUGACCGUGCAAAGGUAGCAUAAUCAUUUGCCUUAUAAUUGAAGGCUGGUAUGAAUGGUUUGACAAGAAUAUAGCUGUCUCUUUAUGAUUUGGUAGAAUUUUAUUUUUAGGUGAAAAAGCCUUAAUUUAAUUAAUAGACAAGAAGACCCUAUCGAGCUUAAAGGAAUUUAAUGGAUGAGUAGGCUUAUCGGUGGAGAAAGUGAACUGUUAAAUAUUUUGGUUGGGGCGACUUAGGAACAUGAAAAGCUUCCUUUUUGUUAUUUAUACAUACAGGUAUUGAUCCAGUGAUUAUUGAUUGAAGGAAUUAGUUACCGUAGGGAUAACAGCAUUAUCUUUUUUGAGAGUUCUUAUCGAAAAAAGGGUUUGUGACCUCGAUGUUGGACCAGAAUGUCCUGAAGAUGUAGAAGUCUUCGAGGGUUGGUCUGUUCGACCAUUAAAAUUCUA
rnacentral:rRNA from 1 species